GCGAGAUAGCUCAGUAGGUAGAGCAAACGGCUCAUAUCCGUUCGGUCGAGGGUUCAAAUCCCCCUCUCGC
rnacentral:tRNA from 2 species